AGCGAACGCUGGCGGCAGGCUUAACACAUGCAAGUCGAACGCCCGUAGCAAUACGGGAGUGGCAGACGGGUGAGUAACGCGUGGGAACAUGCCCUUUGGUUCGGAAUAACUCAGGGAAACUUGAGCUAAUACCGGAUAAGCCCGAGAGGGGAAAGAUUUAUCGCCGAAGGAUUGGCCCGCGUCUGAUUAGCUAGUUGGUGAGGUAAUGGCUCACCAAGGCGACGAUCGGUAGCUGGUCUGAGAGGAUGAUCAGCCACACUGGGACUGAGACACGGCCCAGACUCCUACGGGAGGCAGCAGUGGGGAAUAUUGGACAAUGGGGGCAACCCUGAUCCAGCCAUGCCGCGUGAGUGAUGAAGGCCCUAGGGUUGUAAAGCUCUUUCGGCGGGGACGAUAAUGACGGUACCCGCAGAAGAAGCCCCGGCUAACUUCGUGCCAGCCGCCGCGGUAACAC
rnacentral:rRNA from 1 species